CCGGACCGCCCACCCGGCGGCUCCCCGGACGAGACGCGCCGUACCCGGAACGCCAAGACGACGCAUC
rnacentral:ncRNA from 1 species